CCUUGGCUGCUUUUGGAUCUGAUACACAGGCAAACGUGAUGUCACAGGUGGAGACUACUUCAGCAGGGGUUCUUCCCAGUCGUGCACCCUCCUGGAUGAACAAAUCACACUGCAAAAGGCACAAGUCCAAAGCUCUGGAAGAACUGCAAGGCCUCUUAACAACAAACAUCCAUCAAAAUGAAGAUUUACUUUACCUCUUCACAAACCUUCAGCUUCUUUGUGAUGGCUUGAUAGCAGACAGCUGGCUGUAUGAAGAAGACAAAGCGUUCAGGGGAAGGACAGUGCUGAUUUACUCUGCCGAGCAAACAGACCAUAUCCUCAUUCCACAGAAGCAUGCAGCU